rnacentral:lncRNA from 1 species
AGCUUGGAGUGCACUGAGCGGAAACCAGGCCUUUUCUGUGCAGGUCUGCAGGUGUUCUGGCUCCUCGUGGCCCUCGUGAACUUCGCCAGAAAGAGAAAAUGGGAAGCUCACAGGACUCCGAGUGAUUACCCUCAGUCCCGGUAGAAAGCCAUUCGAGAGCGCUGUAUCAGGAGCAAACGCCGUCUCCUGAACCACCUGAAGGCUUGACACAUGAGAUCAAGCGUCUUCUGAGCGCACCAAACAGUACUUCUGCACUGCCCUGCAGUACCUAGCAGCUCUUUACUAUCCCCCUGUACUCUCAGUGAACGACAAAUGAACAAGCUUCUAUUGCUGUGAAUAGCAACAAGGUGACCGCUUACCAGCCUGUAAAAUCUGGUAUCAUCCCUCCUGAAGUCAAAGCUUGACUUUAAGAAAAUUCUUACUGGUUUCUCCAAGGAACGUGUCCCUGUGCUGCUGCAGAAUCUGGUUUGCCACAGGAAAGAGGCUUCAGCAGCUGGAGACAGCAGGUAUCUGAAGGCGAGUAUGAGCAUCGUUUUGCAGGCAGCGCAUUCUCGGCAAACUCCUUAAUUAGAGCUGCUCUGACACUGAAGUUUGGUCCACGGAAUGCUGUAGGAUUGAAGAGAGUCUGCGCAGAGGUGGGCAACGGUCUGGACCUGCGUUUUGGAGAGACGCUGAUUCCCUUUGGCCUGGGGGAGGUCUGCGUUCCUGCUGGCAACCCCGCUCCGACGGUCCCCAAAGUCCGUGUUAGUGUGCGGUUGGGUACAGGCCUGAGUCUAUGAUCUGAAGCUGUGCCCACGGCGUUUCGUCACCUACGUACAACCGUACGCUGAACGCAUGUUGUCUUCUGGAGCAGGUACCUGACUGUGGCAUCCAGCUGGGGCCAAAGGGAGAUGCUGCAGCACCAGAAGACCUUCCUCCACGGCAUGUCCGUGGCAUGACUCCGAGCAAGGGGGAGACCGCCUCUGCGGUGCCA